GAGUUUGAUCAUGGCUCAGGACGAACGCUGGCGGCGUGCCUAACACAUGCAAGUCGAGCGGAGUUGGAAGAAGCUGCAGAGAUGCAGCGGGAGCUGACUUAGCGGCGAACGGGUGAGUAACACGUGGGCAAUCUGCCCUCUGGAGCGGGAUAACGGACCGAAAGGCCUGCUAAUACCGCAUGAGGCCUAAAUGUCGCAUGGCAAUUAGGUCAAAGGGGAAACCCGCCGGAGGAGGAGCCCGCGUCCCAUUAGCUAGUUGGCGGUGUAACUGACCACCAAGGCGAUGAUGGGUAGCCGGCCUGAGAGGGUGAACGGCCACAUUGGGACUGAGACACGGCCCAGACUCCUACGGGGGGCAGCAGUGAGGGAUUUUCGGCAAUGGGCGAAAGCCUGACCGAGCGACGCCGCGUGAGCGAAGAAGGCCUUCGGGUCGUAAAGCUCUGUCUAGGGGGACGAGGAAGGACGGUACCCCUGGAGGAAGCCACGGCUAACUACGUGCCAGCAGCCGCGGUAAUACGGAGGAUGCGAGCGUUAUCCGGAUUCAUUGGGUUUAAAGGGUGCGUAGGCGGACUAUUAAGUCAGUGGUGAAAUCCUGCAGCUUAACUGCAGAACUGCCAUUGAUACUGAUAGCCUUGAGUUUGGUUAAGGUAGGCGGAAUGUGUAAUGUAGCGGUGAAAUGCUUAGAUAUUACACAGAACACCAAUUGCGUAGGCAGCUUACUGAGCCGACACUGACGCUGAGGCACGAAAGCGUGGGGAUCGAACAGGAUUAGAUACCCUGUAGUCCACGCUGUAAACGAUGAUCACUCGCUGUUUGCGAUAUACAGUAAGCGGCUAAGCGAAAGCGUUAAGUGAUCCACCUGGGGAGUACGAUCGCAAGGUUGAAACUCAAAGGAAUUGAC
rnacentral:rRNA from 1 species